UACGAAGGGGGCUAGCGUUGCCCGGAAUCACUGGGCGUAAAGCGCACGUAGGCGGGUUCUUAAGUCAGGGGUGAAAUCCUGGAGCUCAACUCCAGAACUGCCUUUGAUACUGGGAAUCUCGAGUCCGGGAGAGGUGAGUGGAACUGCGAGUGUAGAGGUGAAAUUCGUAGAUAUUCGCAAGAACACCAGUGGCGAAGGCGGCUUACUGGUCCGGUUCUGACGCUGAGGCGCGAAAGCGUGGGGAGCAAACAGG
rnacentral:rRNA from 1 species